rnacentral:rRNA from 1 species
UAAGAGGUCCCGCCUGCCCUGUGACUGUAAGUUUAACGGCCGCGGUAUUUUGACCGUGCGAAGGUAGCGUAAUCACUUGUCUCUUAAAUGGAGACCUGUAUGAAUGGCAUUACGAGGGCUUGACUGUCUCCUUUUUCAGGUCAGUGAACUUGAUCUUCCCGUGCAGAAGCGGGAAUAUAAACAUAAGACGAGAAGACCCUAUGGAGCUUUAGACACAAGAGCAGAGCACGUCAAACGCCCCUAAGCAAGGGCCAAAACCUAAUGCACCCCCUGCCCUAAUGUCUUUGGUUGGGGCGACCGCGGCGAAAAAUUUAACCUCCGCGUGGACCGGGAGCACUUUCUUAUUUUCUCCUACACCCAAGAGCCACAGCUCUAAGUAACAGAACUUUUGACCUUUCAUGAUCCGGCAAAGCCGAUCAACGAACCGAGUUACCCUAGGGAUAACAGCGCAAUCCUCUUCUAGAGCCCAUAUCGACAAGAGGGUUUACGACCUCGAUGUUGGAUCAGGACAUCCUAAUGGUGCAGCCGCUAUUAAGGGUUCGUUUGUUCAACG